rnacentral:rRNA from 1 species
UACGGGGGGGGCAAGCGUUGUUCGGAAUUACUGGGCGUAAAGGGCGCGUAGGCGGCCUGCUAAGUCGAACGUGAAAUCCCUGGGCUCAACCCAGGAACUGCGUCCGAUACUGGUUGGCUUGAAUCCGGGAGAGGGAUGUGGAAUUCCAGGUGUAGCGGUGAAAUGCGUAGAUAUCUGGAGGAACACCGGUGGCGAAGGCGGCUCUCUGGGACGGUACUGACGCUGAGACGCGAAAGCGUGGGGAGCGAACAGG